AACAGUCGCUGAAUUUUACAAAAGGUUUCCCAGGGAUCACUGAAUUCGGUGACCUCGGGGAAACCUUUUGUAAAAUUUAGUGAUCAUU
rnacentral:pre_miRNA from 1 species